rnacentral:lncRNA from 1 species
CUUAAGCAGAUUGCUUAUUUAAAUCCUUGAAAUACACUAAUCUAGGUUACCGUAAUAAUUCAGAUCACUUGCUGCUCUGUAGUUGGAGGGCUGUGUCAGAUACUAAACGCUGACAUUCAGUGAAACACAAGCUCCUCCUGACACCACAGCUGGCUGCAAUCCUCUGCUGCUGUUCCUAAAUCCUAGGUUAACUUCUAACAUCCCACAUGAGCACAUGAACACUUACUGGCUGCUUCUGUCCCAGCACGCUCUCUGAAGUACAUUUUACUGCCUUAAGAUUUCUUGAAACAAGGCAGAAGUGGCUGUCAAUGCUUCCUAGAGUUUCAGUAAUACUAUGUUGAGAAUAAGUCUAAGUGCUCUCCAGAGGAAAUGCCAUUUAAGCUGCGCUGUCAUUUCACUGUACCUCUAAUUUUCUAUCAGCAAGAAGCCACUAAGCAGCCAACUCUUUCCAGAGGCCGUUGUAACAAAGAAGCUGAUGCAGAAGCAUUUACAUUCUGAAAUGACCUUACAUCUAGUUGUAGAAAAGAAAUCAGGAAAGGUUAUUUAACCUUUGUACUAUACCUUCAUCAUCUGUAGAGUGGCAAUCCCUCCAACCUCCUGCCAUACAAAGGGGUCAUACAAGUCCACCAAUGCCAGAAAAAUUUCAAGCUUCCAUCAACAAAAAACGCAAACUGUGACGUAAUAUUUAUCCUUCCUCACACUUCACACACAUGAAGGGCUCCAGACCAGAAACAGGCAGCCAAAAGCACUAUUUCAGCAGCCCCAACCCACAGCAGACACUUACCGCGCAAGAUCUUCAUCAAAGGAGUCCAUCCGAAUAUUGACCUGGGCCUCACGAGUAAUGGAAAAGGAGGACUUGCCAGGAGCCAGCCCAUCUCCUUUGGAACCUGGCUUCUCCUUUACCUCAGAGGCCUUCCUUGGUGGGGGAGAAGAGCUUUUUUCCUGGCUUGUUUUAUAAGUGGUCACCCUAAAAUUCUUUUCAGGAACAAAGCCCCGGUGACCCGGCUCAGAUCUCUUGGAUGCUGGCCUCUCUUCUUUUUUAGAUCUCUCAGAAUAGCUCUCCUCCUCCAUUUCCUCAGACUUUCUUUGCUUCUCUUUUCCAGGUGGCAAGAACACCACACCUUCCCAUUUGCCUUGCCUAUCCUCUUCUUGACUUUUACUCGAUGUUGCUACCACUUUUGACAUAAAUUUGGGCUCAUCAUCAAAAUCCGAAUCCUUACGGCCCUUUGCCUUUUCUUUCUUUUCCUGAUCAUCCGUUUCAUCUUUGCCAUAAUGACUUUCCUUGUGGAACUCCGGGGCCUUUGGCUUGUCAAAGUCAUCUCGGAACUUGUAGCGCUUGGGUGACUGACUGCCACGGUAUCCCUUCUCAGAAUCUGCUUUGGAUGCAUAGGAAUCAGAUUUUGCCUUUCCAUCUGUUGAUCCCACCUCUGAGAAAUUCCCUUUCUCUUUAUUUUUUUCCUUCUCAACAUUUGUUACUUUCUGAUCUUUGUCCUUCCCAUUCUCCGCCUUCUGCUCUUCCAGAUACCUCUUUGAGAAGGCUCCUCCGCCAGGAGCUGUGGUUUCCUCCUUCUGAGAUGUACCAUACAUGGAACUGAUUGGCGUUGGACUUUUGCACACAGGGCUCUUUCUUGUUGGACUCAAACCUGACGAGCCGUGGUCAAAUGGACUCUGAUGAGAUCCUGCCUGAAAGGAGGUGCUGCUCUGCGACGCAGAGCUCAUCUGAGAGGGGUUGGACAGUGGGGAGCUCGACUUCUGCAAUGGACUUGGCCGAGGAGAACGCCGCCUCACCACAACUGAUUGGAGAGGGCUUUUUAACGCAGGGCUGCGUUCCCUCGGGCUGAGCUCAGGCGCAGCAGCUCUCGAUGUUGAGCUGCUACCAUAGGUGGACACAUCUUGCCAUGGUUUUGAUCCCUCAGAUGCCUUGGCAUCUUGAGCAGCUGCUCCUGAAAACGGCUGCUCUUUAGAAUCAUCACCUUGGUUAUCUCCUGCAGCCUGAGAUGCCCGGGCUUCCUUGGAAGAUGACUUUUUCUCCUUUCCAGAUUUACGCUUGGAAGACUCAACUCGGCUAUGGUUGGAGGAAGACCGAGAAGAGGAAGACCUCCUCGACCGAUCAGAUGAUGACUUAUCAGAAUUUCUAGAAUGACUUCUAGACCUUGGGGAAGGAGACCUUCUCUUGGGUGAACGGGAGCGUGACCUCCCCCUACGAGGGCUAUACGCUUGGCGGUAGUUUUGCCAGUUAGACCUGUAGUUCCCAUAUCCUCCUCUGUUAUAUUGGCCCCACGGAUAGAACCCUCGAUUUCGGCCUCGGAAAUAAUAUGGUCUCCUGUAUCCUCUGUUAUGACCUCUGAAAUCCCGGUUCUGAUAGACUCUUGGAUGGUUCCUUUCCCUGUUAUGAGAUGGAGAAUAUGACCUUGAACGGGACCUAGAACUGAUAAAAAAACACAUAUUAUUAUUAUUGGUACCACUUAAUAUUUGAAGUCUCAUCUCCCACCUCCUGUCUCCCUCACUUAUUUUGUACACUCCAAAAAUUCUGAUAGAGAUGAAAUCCCAGUCCUUUGCUAGGAAAGUCAAACAAAUCACAACACACGAAUACAAGAAAGGCAGUACUGAGCAUAUGGUGCACUGCUCUAGAGAUCAAGUUCCAAAAGGUGAACCAGCUGUCACAAUUCCAAAGCUCCAACUCAAACUAACAGAGAGAUGCACUCCCCCGACAGCCUGACACCACGAGGUGGCAAUGUUUGGUGCUCCCUCUGCUCACUUCCUCCUGAUGUGAAAGCUCUGGCUAUUCAGAAAGAACGGAACUGAAUCCAAGACAAGUCCAAAGCCUGCAAGAGGACUGAUUUAAAAGACAAAAUAUUAAGGGGGAAUUGUAUCAAUGUCUCUUCCAUUUGAAAAUUCAGAACUGCAGUUGUGUAACUGCUCAGAAGCCCCACUGUAGCUCAGGUUUCAAUGCCAUCUUUA